ACGGGAGGCAGCAGUGGGGGAUAUUGGACAAUGGGGGCAACCCUGAUCCAGCGACGCCGCGUGAGUGAAGAAGUAUUUCGGUAUGUAAAGCUCUUUAAGCAGGGACGAUAAUGACGGUACCUGCCGAAUAAGCCCCGGCUACCUACGUGCCAGCAGCCGCGGUAAUACGUAGGGGGCACGCGUUAUCCGGAUUUACUGGGUGUAAAGGGAGCGUAGACGGCAAUACAAGUCUGAAGUGAAAGCCCGCGGCUCAACUGCGGAACUGCUUUGGAAACUGUAUAGCUAGAGUGUCGGAGAGGUGAGUGGAAUUCCCAGUGUAGCGGUGAAAUGCGUAGAUAUUGGGAAGAACACCGGAGGCGAAGGCGGCUCACUGGAAGAUAACUGACGUUGAGGCUCGAAAGCGUGGGGAGCAAACAGGAUUAGAUACCCUGGUA
rnacentral:rRNA from 1 species